CCGCGUGAGUGAAGAACGCCUUCGGGUUGUAAAGCUCUUUCGCAAGGGAAGAAAAUUAUGAUCGAAUAAAUCAUGAGGUUGACGGUACCUUGAUAAGAAGCACCGGCUAACUACGUGCCAGCAGCCGCGGUAAUACGUAGGGUGCGAGCGUUAAUCGGAAUUACUGGGCGUAAAGCGUGCGCAGGCGGUUUUGUAAGUCGGAUGUGAAAUCCCCGGGCUCAACCUGGGAACUGCGUUCGAAACUGCAAGGCUAGAGUGUGUCAGAGGGGGGUAGAAUUCCACGUGUAGCAGUGAAAUGCGUAGAGAUGUGGAGGAAUACCAAUGGCGAAGGCAGCCCCCUGGGAUAACACUGACGCUCAUGCACGAAAGCGUGGGGAGCAAACAGGAUUAGAUACCCUGGUAGUCCGCCCUAAACGAUGUCAACUAGUUGUUGGUAGAGUAAAAUCUAUGAGUAACGUAGCUAACGCGUGAAGUUGACCGCCUGGGGAGUACGGUCGCAAGAUUAAAACUCAAAGGAAUUGACGGGGGCCCGAACAAGCGGUGGAUUAUGUGGAUUAAUUCGAUGCAACGCGAAAAACCUUACCUGGCCUUGACCUGUACCGAAUUGAGCAGAGAUGUUCAAGUGCUCGAAAGAGAACGGUAACAC
rnacentral:rRNA from 1 species